AAACGAAUGUAACGGUGGUCGGAGAGC
rnacentral:sRNA from 1 species